GAGGGAGUAGCUCAAACGGUAGAGUGCAUGCUUAGCAUGCAUGAGGUCCUGAGUUCAACUUCUAGUACCUCCU
rnacentral:tRNA from 1 species